GAUGAGGAGCCAAUUGUUAUAUUUAACACUGUAUCCUAGACUUUCUUAAUCAUAUUUUGUCUGGGUUUGUGUAAAUUUUUAUCUGCAUCUGCUGUCAGCCCUGAUUUAAAUGCUAGAAGGCACUUGGCAUAUACUGGCCAUCUGGCAUAAAGGACAGUUUCUGGAGAUAGGGACUCUUCCCUCAGCUUCUCAGUCAACUUAACCAGAGGUUUUUCUCAGUGCGAAUGAGAAACUCCAAUCUGAAGAGUCAAAGAAACAAAAACCAUGUGAGGUUUUAGGCUGAAUGUGUGUAGGUGGUCCAGGAUCAGCCACCCAGCAAGCUUCCAUGAGUGGGGAUUCAAGUCUGGGUGUCCCAGAUCCAAGU